UUUCACAUGGGACAAUUACAGAAGGAAAACAGAAAGUAUGAGAUCGAUGAAGGGAGGAGACACAGUGUUUCUGUGAAGUCAUGUGACCACAGAGCGCCCUUCCUCCUGCUGAUAUGAAACCUGUGAACACUGAUCCUCUCUGCUCUCUCUGUCCUCAGAAUCACUGAGCCGCCUGAAGCCGACGACACAGAGACGGUGAUUCUGUUCCCUAUCUUUCAUUGACGACCACUGACUGAACUGUUCGCCGCCCGGCCGCAAACGUCACCUUCUUCACCUGUGGAGCUGCAAAGUGAACAGCGAGGACUGAGCGCGCUCAGUGCUGCUCUGCUCAGCCCCGGCCAACUCCUGCAAACAGACCCGUCCUGAUAAACGGCAGCAGCCUCUAGUACCUGUUCAACUUCUCUGCAGACUUUGGACUAAGCUUCCUUCAAAUGGGCCAGAAACACAGCAAAAGACAUAGCAGUAAAUAUCCUCCUAGUUUUUCUAAAAAAGAUGCAGCUUUAUUCAUCAGGCAUUUUGACCAAGAUGGACCCAGGAUGGAACGGAUCAUAUAUGAGCUUCAAAAGAUCUCUGUUGACAAAAUAAACAUAACAGACAAAUCCAAAGCAACAACAACGCUAGGAGCUGUUAUUACGGGAACCGGAGCUGUAUUGGCACUGGGUGCAGCUCCGUUCACUGGAGGCUUGAGUUUAGCAAUAGCUGGAAUUGGAGCAGCAAGUUCUGUUGCUGGAGGUCUCACUAUUGCUGGAGGCUCCAUAAACGAGAAAACAAUGUUAGAAGAAUGUCGAAGGAAUGUGGACAAAUUAACAACAGAGUUCAGGACAAUUGUUGAGUCACUGAGGAUAGUGCUGACAAAUCUAAAGACCGUGUGUGGAGAACCAAGAACAUUUUCAGCUACAGACAGUUUGACAGAUGUUAUUAAUGAGUAUAAAAUGGUUUUGGAAGAGUUUAAAAGAAUGAAAGUAGAGCUCCAAAGAAUUUGAGGUUUGUUUAAUGAAACAGCACAUCUCUGGUGUGUGUGUCAGUUGGAAGGAGGCUGUGGUGUGUGUGUGUGUGUAUGUAUUUACCAAGAACACUGUGUUUUCAUAACCUUCUAACUUGUACAGUCGUGGUUCAUGGAUGUGUCGGGGUAGUUCUUGACAAAGUGUCUACAGUUUGGUUUGAAGUUCAUGUUUUCUCUUCUUAUAAAUGUAGGAUUUCCACAAUGUUAUCAUCUGGCUUAACUUAACCCAUGACAGUAUGACUGGUCAAUAACCCUCAGUGAAAUACCUGUAAAUAUACCUUGUACAU